rnacentral:rRNA from 1 species
AUUGAACGCUGGCGGCAGGCCUAACACAUGCAAGUCGAGCGAGCGGCGGACGGGUGCGUAAUGUAUGGGGAUCUGCCCGAUAGAGGGGGAUAACUACUGGACACGGUGGCUAAUACCGAAUACUAUCGGAUGUACCCAGAUGGGAUUAGCUAGUAGGUUGUGUAAAGGCUCACCUAGGCGACGAUCUCUAGCUGGUCUGAGAGGAUGAUCCGCCACCCGGGGACUGAGACACGGCCCAGACUCCGACGGGAGGCAGCAGUGGGGAGUAUUGCACAAUGGGCGCAAGCCUGAUGCAGCCAUGCCGCGUGUAUGAAGAAGGCCUUAGGGUUGUAAAGUACUUCCAGCGGGGAGGCUUUACCCGCAGAAGAAGCACCGGCUAAGUCCGUGCCAGCAGCCGCGGUAAUAC